rnacentral:rRNA from 1 species
UACGAAGGGGGCUAGCGUUGCUCGGAAUUACUGGGCGUAAAGCGUGCGCAGGCGGUUAUGCAAGACAGAUGUGAAAUCCCCGGGCUCAACCUGGGAACUGCAUUUGUGACUGCAUAGCUAGAGUACGGUAGAGGGGGAUGGAAUUCCGCGUGUAGCAGUGAAAUGCGUAGAUAUGCGGAGGAACACCGAUGGCGAAGGCAAUCCCCUGGACCUGUACUGACGCUCAUGCACGAAAGCGUGGGGAGCAAACAGG